AUGGCUCAGGAUGAACGCUAGCGGCAGGCUUAACACAUGCAAGUCGAGGGGUAACGGGGCGUAGCAAUACGCUGCCGACGACCGGCGCACGGGUGCGUAACGCGUAUGCAACCUACCUUGUACAGGGGGAUAACGGAGGGAAACUUCCACUAAUAUCCCAUAGUGUCAUUUGAUCGCAUGGUUGGAUGACUAAAGCUUCGGUGGUGCAAGAUGGGCAUGCGUGACAUUAGCUAGUUGGUGGGGCAACGGCCCACCAAGGCGACGAUGUCUAGGGGAGCUGAGAGGCUUAUCCCCCACACUGGUACUGAGACACGGACCAGACUCCUACGGGAGGCAGCAGUGAGGAAUAUUGGUCAAUGGACGGAAGUCUGAACCAGCCAUGCCGCGUGGAGGAAAAGAAGGUCCUAUGGGUUGUAAACUCCUUUUGCUCCAGAGUAAUAAGAGCCUUGCGAGGUUCGAUGAGAGUAUGGGGCGAAUAAGCAUCGGCUAACUCCGUGCCAGCCGCAGC
rnacentral:rRNA from 1 species